UACGUAGGGUGCGAGCGUUGUCCGGAAUUAUUGGGCGUAAAGAGCUCGUAGGCGGUCUGUCGCGUCGGAUGUGAAAGCCCGGGGCUUAACUCCGGGUCUGCAUUCGAUACGGGCUGGCUAGAGUGUGGUAGGGGAGAUCGGAAUUCCUGGUGUAGCGGUGAAAUGCGCAGAUAUCAGGAGGAACACCGGUGGCGAAGGCGGAUCUCUGGGCCAUUACUGACGCUGAGGAGCGAAAGCGUGGGGAGCGAACAGG
rnacentral:rRNA from 1 species